UCUUUUCCUGGAAGAGGCAUUUGAAUGAAACACUUGACAAAUAUUUAUAUGCUAGUAACCAUGCUAGAAUAACAGCCACAGUCUGCUAUGACCUGAAUUGAACCAGAAAAUGCAGAGUGAAGGCAGGGGGAACACGGCUCGGGGUCCUCUCUGGUCAGGCCUGGAGCCAGCGCUUGUAAACUGUGGACUAUCACCCACUGUUGAGAGGCCUCCUUUCGGCAGACUUCAGCACAGGGAUGUGGACUUGUUUCUAUGAAAGCCUGGAAUUCCUGUAGGGGUAGUGCCGUAAAACCGGAUCUUUACCUUCCUUAUUUAAAGGACUUUUUUGCGCAUAGACUGCCUGUCCUGGCCUCUCUCCCACUCUGGAAAGGAAGGGCUGAGAGAGAAAAACACACUGGAGAUGCUGUUUUGGAUGGAAACACACUCGCUGCCUGUUUCCCUGUGUGCCCAUGGUUCUUCUAGGUGCUGGGAAUAGACGAGUGAGAUGCAGACAAGGCCCCAGUCCUCACGGCACUUAUGUGCUAUGAGGAAACAAGGAAUGCACAUACCCCAUCGAGGAGGUGUCAGUCCAUCUUCAUGAGCCAAAAGGUGACAUGUGCCAAGGAAACAGGAAUAGAGCCUUGAGUGAAGCAUCAGACCAGUACAGCCGACCUGGUGGGCCUUGGUGCAAAGGGAAUGGAGCAAAGACUGGGAGGUAAUGAGGGGAUUCCCCAGGUGCUCCCCUGGGAGAAGAGAAUUCUGCCCACAGGCCCUGCCACCAGCGAGGGCCUUGCGUGCCGUGGAGUGGGAGGAACCACAAGGUGAGAAGGGUCUGAGGAUGUGGGCAUGGAGGCAUUGCAAGGACUUUGAAUUUACUCUGAGAGAUGAGUAGUCACUGGGAGGUUUGCAGCCCAGACAACCCACACGGUCAUUUCAGGAAGCUUGAGAGAGACUCAGUAUGUGGGGCAGCGGGCCCCCGUUUGUGGGGGCCACAGCGCAAACGCACCUGAGCCUGGAGCUGCUGGAACUCCUCUCUCUGCAGCCAGAGACCCAGGCUCACUCCUGGGCCUCCAUUCCGCCUGCUGGAUCAGCAAAAAUGAAAUGACUAAAUGGGCUGUUGGAUUUCAAAGAAUUACAGCCCCACUCCAGUCCUUGAGAGAGAAGCAGAGGCCCUGUUCCCCUGCGUCUGUGUGGCCUGCUGCAAAUAACGGGCUGGGUUUAUGGCGAGGGGACGGCUGGGCGGUUGCUUGUCUAGAAACGCACCAUGUGGUCCCUGCCUCCUCCUGAGCCUCAAUGGCCGCCUGGGACAUAGAUAGCCAGACAUCGCCAAUUUCCAGGUUCAAAAUUAUAUUCCCCCAACGUGAGUUAAUCUUCCCAUGAAAGGAAGAAAUACUUUUCACUUCAUGUUACUCUCUCUACUUUUUUUUUAAAGCAUCAGAUCUUUUAUCUCUAGUAUGACUAUGGAUGAAAUAUCACCAGCUUCAUAUUUCAAGAUAAUUUCCCUUCCAGCAAACAUUCCCCUAGGAAUAAAGACAUGUAGUGCCCACACUGCUGGGCUGCUUUUUCCGCCUCUGUCUAAACAAGGCCCUGUGUGUUCCAUCUGCUUGUCGGUUCCCAGUGUGCACUGGUCACUGCUGGGCUGAAAGGUCUCGCUUUUAGCUUCCUAGAUAGGCCAGCGAGGUUAAUAAGUUAAUAAAAUCCUAUUUAUCAGACUCCGGAGUCCAUUUCCUCUUCCCCGUGGCUCAUGGUUGUAAUUAUUCUUUAUGGACUCUCGGUGUUCCUUUAGAUCUGAUUUCCUCGCACUCCCCUCCCAUUUCCUGAAAGCCACGCCACAGAAGGAGAGAGUGGUCUUUUCUCUGGAAAGAUGUCUGUUACUCAUUUCCACCUUGGUGUCACGAAAGCUAGUCUGAAGGGAUACGUUUAAAUAUUUAAAAUUUUAAGAUGCAUGUGGAACAGCCUGGGUUGCUUCUCCUCCUGAGCAGAUUAGGUUAGAAAGACCUGGGGGCCCCUGGAUAACCCGGCGUAGCUGUCCAGGAGUGCAGAGAUUGGGAACCAGAUCCUGGGCUCUUGGCAGCUUCAGCUUUAUCUGGAAAAUUGGAGCCAUCAUUUCGACCAUGCUCACAUAUGAAGAUAAAUGACAAUAGCUUGCGUGAAAGUGUUUUUGAAAACAACAAUAACAACAAAACACAGAAAAAGAAGGCAUGAUCUUGGCUGCUUUUGAUGUGACUGUUUCCCUUAGCAGGGUGCCAGGGAUAUGGGGAAUUUAGGCCAAAUUAGCCGGAGCUUCUCUUAUUAGCGAAGAUUCGCUUAUCAGGUUCCCUGCUGUCAGCUUGGAAGACCCAGAGUCUGACCCCGAAUAAUGAAAUAGAGGACAAAUGAAGAUUCUGUCUCUGAGCAGGACUCGGGAUGGGGAGCAGUGGGCCCCAGCUGGAGGGGCGCAGGUCAGGCUGUAGGGCCCCUGGAGCUGGCUCCCUGGCUUGAGAGAAAGGGCCACAGUCACCUUCGCCUGCCCAGGCCCAGUCGUCUUUCUCGGGAGUGGCGGAAUGUAGCUUUCUACCCUACGGGCUCCUGCGCCUCACAGUGCUGGCUUUGGGUUUCUUCUGGGUCUCUGUGCUAACUUAGGCUCCGACGUUUCUAACUUUGGCCAAGAAGGUUUUGUAUACGAAUUUAUAGUGUACUGUAUAUGUGUGUGUGUGUGUGUGUGUGUACGCGUGCACACCAGCACAUGCACUUUUUAAAACAACUAGGAAUCUUCUCAGCAAACACUAUUCCUUGUCUACUCCCUUCUCUUGAAGAUGGUCACUGAGUGGCUACGGAGACACAAACUUGGAGGAAAGCACCCUGGCCUUGCCAACAGUGGAGAGUGCCCCAGGGCCAACCCCGAUGAAUCUCUGCCAGAUGAGGUGCAGAAGGGGAUGGGGCAAAGGAAGCAGAUACUCCCCCACGUGACUUCCCCACAGGAGCCACUUAACCAGAGGAAGACAGUGAUAUGGUUUGGCUGUGUCCCACCCAAAUCUCAUCUUGAACUGUAGUUCUCGUAAUCCCCAUGUGCUGUGGGAGCAACACGGUGGGAGGUAAUUGAAUCACGGGGGUGGUUACCUCCAUGCUGUUCUGGUGAUAGUGAGUGAGUUCUCACGAGAUCUGAUGGUUUUAUAAGGGACUUUUCCCCUUUUGCUCAGCACUUUUCCUUGCUGCCGCUAUGUGAAGAAGGAUGUGUUUGCUUCCCCUUCCUCCAUGAUUAUAAGUUUCCUGAGGCCUGCCCAGCCCUGCAGAACUGUGAGUCAGUUAAACUUUCUUUAUAAAUUACCCAGUCUCAGAUAUGUCUUUACUGGCAAUGUGAGAACGGACUAAUACAGAUGGGCAGAGAAAGGUCUCCGUGCCAGCAUCUAACCUGGUGAUCAAGGAUGGAAAGAAGAGUGGGGCCACACCAUGUAGAGACUCCUCUGAGCCAAUUUCACUUGAGGGCCUUGGCCUACAAGCCAAACAAACAAACAAACACAUAAACAAACAGGGGGGCUAUGGCUGCCAAAAUACACAGAGGCACAGCCCCCAGGUGGCCCCCAGCUUCCUUGCCCCCACAUCCUGAACACCCCUCUGCACAGUAACAAGCUGGCAGAGAAAAACUACAAGCAAUUUAAAAUUUCUUCCCUUUCCUCUAUCUGACCUUCAGAGAACUAGUCUGAGAUCUACGACAACUUCAGAAUCCAUCUCUGCCCAACCCUGGACAGGCACAGACUUCCCUCUGCAAGAAUAUAAAAGCAAGCACAUAAACCACAACCAACUAGGCAUCUGAAUCUAUUAAUUAAUUCAACAUCCAUUGAAUAAGUCAAAAGAGGAAGAUAAUAUGAUCAAUUAAUAAAUGCCAAAGAGCUCCUUGGCUAAAAUCCAACCUAUCUUAAUUAAUUUCACCUACACAUGCACUAAACAAACAAUCCAUGUGAUAUGAGAUUCUGUUGCAGUUCUCUAAUGUGGUUCUUAAAAAAUCUCAAAACAAAAAUCAUUGUCAUGCUUCACUGUGACACAAUAAAGCCAUUCAAAUUAAAGUCAAGACAAUGAAAAGGAUGCCUAUGUUCACUGUUGUUAUUUAAUAUGGUUUUGGAAAUACCAGCCAAUGCAAUUAGAUAAGAGAUCAUUUGAAGAUGGCAUUAGUGUGUGUCUAGAAACACAAAGUAAAUCAAGCGAAAACAUUAUUAGAAUCAAUAGGAGAAUUCAGUUAGGUGGUCUUAAAAUUACUAUGCAAAAUCAAUAGCUUUCCUUUAUCUGAAAAAAUAAACAUUUAGAAAGUGUAACAGAAGGAGCAUACCCAUCUGAAUGGCAAUAACAUUUGAAUAGCCAGUAAUAAACUUUAUAAAACAACUGCAGGACCAAUGUGAGGGAAAUAUUGUAUUCUGCUGAGAGACAUAAACCCUAUGAGGAGUAUUUUCUGUAAGUAAAUGAGAUAACUUCUUGUCCUCGGAAGGGGAGGCUCAACUGUGUAAAGAAAUAAAUUACCCUAAAUUAGACUAUAUAUUUAGUCUAUGGUCUAAAUAUAGGCCUGUGCUGCCCGGUUAUUAAAAUGUUGAGUUAUUCCAGAAAGUCAGAGCACUUUGCACCGGAGCAUGAAUAGAUAGGAUUGUUGAGCUGAAUACACGGGACAGAAAUGACUGAAAUACCUGUGGGACGCCAGUGCUCUCCGCAUAAUGAAGCUGACAUGUUAAGGCAAAGGGGAAGUCCUGGAAAACUGACAAGUUUCAGUCUUUGGGGGGAAAGCAAGUUACAGAGCAGUAUGUAGAGUGUGAUACCGUUGUGUACAGAGAACAGCUGCAGAUUAACAUUUUUCUAGGAGAAUAGAUGGGAAAAUGAUGAUAAUUAUUAAAUCUUUGCUGGGGAGAUUGGGAGCGGGAAGGAGUUUUCACUUUACUAAGUUUGGGGGAAAUGACUUCAGUGUUUUGAAAACAAAGUGAUAUACAUCUUCAUAUAGAUGAUCCAAACGAUUACUUUAAAAAAAUAAAAUUGGUUGAGCAUAAUUUUAGAAAUGUCAUGAUAGAUAGACCAAUAUACUUACAGAUGGAUAGAAGUAAUUUUAUAAAAACUGGAUCAUAUGAUAAGUAUUUGUCAAAAAUGCAUCAAAUUUAAUUUUAAGGAACUGCUGUAUUUCAAACAAAUGCUUCUUUGCUCCCUCACUAUGAGAAAACCAAUUGGAUUCUAAAAGACCCCUAGAACAUUAGAAAGGCGGGGGGAAGUAGAAUAAACAAUGAAUAGGUUAGAAUGACAGCACUGUUUCAGUUGCAUGUUGGAACUUGUCACAGUGCCUGUUAAUUUGCUGCUACGAAAGAUGAUGAAAUGGGUGCACCCACCCUCCAUCCCCCUGGGUCUCACCUACCCACCAGGUUUUAGUAGCUGCAUUAUUACUGGUUCAUUUUAAAGUUGUAUAAUCUCUACGAUGCGUUCUGCAGCAAAAAUUCCCAGAACAGCCUCGUCCUGACUCUCCGUUAAAUAUAUGCGGUGUUUGCCAAGAGUUAAUAUUUCAUGACUUUCCCGUUCUUGAGUUGCUUAUUUGGAUUCAUCAUUUGGUUAGCAGGGCUUUGCACCAGCAGCUCAUGGAUGCUGCAGCUUCUAAGUCUACUUGUGUUUGAGAGUGUCUACAUGUUGCCUUUGCUUUUGGAGAGCGAUGUGAUUGCAUGAAAAGAAUUGGUAAUGCUUUCCUUUUCCUUGACAAACUUGUAGGCCUCCAGCCAUGGAAGUGUUCUAGUGGGGAAGGAGGAAGCCACCAUGAAUAUCUCCCUUAGAAGAACACUACUGUGGCCAGGGACACUUAUGCAAUUCCCAUAAGGUUCUUUGUUGUUAUAUGAACUGCAUUUUACACACACACACACACACACACACACACACACACACACACAAACAACUGCCUAGCAGCACAUUGUAAAGGCUGUAUAAUGUGACUAUUAUCAUCCUUGUUUUCUUUAUUCCUGAAAUCUAAUUAAAUAACUUCAGUGGGUUAUGUCUGUUGAUCUCUCAGCAUUGACUUUUCCUGAAACAUGAUGUCUAUUUCAUAUACAGAUUCAGGGCUAUUUUUAUGUCAGGUAAGCUUUAAGAAAAAAUCUUUGAAUGUUUUAACGUGUGUUCUAUUCUUUUAUUAUAAUUAUCCCUGUUCUUGUCUGUUUUCAUUUUGUACAAAUCUUCAAGCCUAUCUACCAUGUCCUUGGCAGUAUCCUCUUCAGUGGUUAUUCUUUUUUGUUCUAGUAUGUUUUACAUUUCUUCUAGUAUGACUUUUAAUUUAUUUUAAUUACUUUGUUAAUUUGAAGGAAUUAUGCAUAUAAUAAAUGCACAUAAUAAAAACAAAUUCAAUUAAUUCCAAGGUAUAUACAGAAAAAGUUAAGUUUCUCUCUCAUUGUAGACACCCAGAUCCUCAGUCUGUCAUUUCCAGAUUAAGUGUAUUCUUCCAGAAUGUUCUUCACAAAUGGCAGUAUCAUCUACACAAGAAGAAGCAUAACAGUUGGAAACUUUUUUUCAUGUCAUUACUUAUAAUUUAUUGUUUUUCACGGUUGCAUAGUUUUUUGGAUACAAAUACUUUAGUUAUGAACAUGUAGUUUUUUUCACUUUUCUACUUCUCAUAUUUUAUUUUUAAAAUUAUAUUUACUAUGACCAUUUUUUUGCACACAGUGCAAGAAUAUCUAGAAUAAAAUUUUAGCAGUAGAAUACUAUUUCAAAUGUCUUGUGCUAUAUUAUUACUAGUAGGGGAGGAAGGUCCUACUGGCAUCUAGAAGGUAGAGGCCUGAGAUCCCAUAGUGAGCAG
rnacentral:lncRNA from 10 species